rnacentral:rRNA from 1 species
CCUACGGGAGGCAGCAGUGGGGAAUUUUGGACAAUGGGCGCAAGCCUGAUCCAGCCAUUCCGCGCGAGUGAAGAAGGCCUUCGGGUUGUAAAGCUCUUUCGCAAGAGAAGAAAACUUACUUUCUAAUAAAGAGUGAGGUUGACGGUAUCUUGAUAAGAAGCACCGGCUAACUACGUGCCAGCAGCCGCGGUAAUACGUAGGGUGCGAGCGUUAAUCGGAAUUACUGGGCGUAAAGCGUGCGCAGGCUGUUUUGUAAGUCAGAUGUGAAAUCCCCGAGCUCAACUUGGGAACUGCGUUUGAAACUACAAGACUAGAAUAUGUCAGAGGGGGGUAGAAUUCCACGUGUAGCAGUGAAAUGCGUAGAGAUGUGGAGGAAUACCAAUGGCGAAGGCAGCCCCCUGGGAUAAUAUUGACGCUCAUGCACGAAAGCGUGGGGAGCAAACAGGAUUUAGAUACCCUGGUAGUCCACGCCCUAAACGAUGUCUACUAGUUGUUGGUGGAGUAAAAUCCAUGAGUAACCGCAGCUACGACGUGAAGUAGACCGCCGUCGGGAGGUACGGUCGCGAGAAGUUAAACGUAACGAAAUAGAAGUUAGUACGGCGUAGAGACGUAGACCGAACGGACGACGACGAGGGGAGGAGGG